GUUUUUAGCGAUUCGAUUCACAACCAAUUAAAGAAUUUCCUUGAGUUGCAUGAACUGUGGCGCGAUUGCGAUUUAGACACGAUAAUUACAAAAUACAGUAAAUAUGAUAUCGCAUUCAUAGUUACCGAUCGCGCGAUUUGAUAUGCGAAAGCAAAUCGCCGCGAUUUUUUUAAAACACAAAAGAUUUUGAAAUAGUGCUUCAUUAAAUACCGAUUUUGGUGAAUAUAGCUCAAAAUUUUUGAUUUUGUGCUACUUUUAAAUUUAGCCUAAUUUUUUUAUUAAUUGAAAUGAAUUCAAAGACAACCUUUUUUGAUGAUAUAAAACCAAAGGAUCAAGUUAAAAAUAUGAUUUAAAUUUAAUUUUUUUUUAGAAAAUAGAUAAAAUAGCUUUUAUUCUUUCUCUUAAAGAGUACAAAUGUUUAUAUAAUAAGCAUAAUCAUUUGUAUAAAAGUAUUAUAUACAAGAAUAAAAUCUGGGAAUUAUUAGCCAAGCAGUUCAUCUCUCUGGAAAAAUCUGAGAGAUUGUUUUAUAAAAGAGAGGCAAAAGCUAAAAAGACUGAAAAGUGGGUCAGAGGUCACAUCUCAUGGCCAUUCUAUCAGCAUAUGCUAUUCCUGGUAGAAACCUUAACACCUAGAUCACAGAAAUCCUCUUUAGAUAUAGAGGAAUGUACUACUAAAGAUGCAAAUGAUAUAUUUAAAAAUAACAGGGGGUAUACAUGAAUGUGAUCUCAUUGAAUUCAGAUUCUGCAGGAUUAAAUCUUAGUAAUGAUUCUGAAUCUAUGUCCUGUGUUGGGUCACCUAGUUUUUAUUAUAAAUGUCCUAAGAGAAAGAACAAUGAUAUGGAUUAGGAAAUUAAUGAAAAUAGAAGCAGAUAAAGUAUUAAUAACGUUGGAAAUGCUUAAAAAUAAAUCAACAGAACAUGCAAUAUGUUUAAUGUUAUAAGAAAAAUUAGAUGAUUGUACCAAAGAG